rnacentral:rRNA from 1 species
AAGCUGGAUUCGCUAGUAAUCGCGCAUCAGCCAUGGCGCGGUGAAUACGUUCCCGGGCCUUGUACACACCGCCCGUCAAGCCAUGGGAGCCGGGGGUACCUGAAGUCCGUAACCGAAAGGAUCGGCCUAGGGUAAAACUGGUGACUGGGGCUAAGUCGUAACAAGGUACC